rnacentral:misc_RNA from 1 species
GUGAAUCAUCGAAUUUUUGAACGCAAAUUGCACUCCCUGGUAUUCCGGUGAGUAUACCUGUUUGAGGGUCGUUAUAAUAAAAAAUCUAGUCGUCUCUCUUUUUUUUAUUGGUUAUCGCGUCGGAAUUUAUCCGUCUUGCAAAUGUUAAUUCAUUUCUAUGUUGCUUUAAAUUCAUCCAUCCGGUACGAUUAAAUCGUAUUUAAUAUCAAUCUUGUUUAAUAACGCACAAUGAUUUACCAUCUCAUGUAGUAAGUUUUACAUGUGUCAUCAAAUUCAUUCGUAUACCAUACU